rnacentral:lncRNA from 1 species
AAGUAUUUUCUUUACUGAAUACAAGUACCACAUAACUAAAAUUGUAAUGGAAGACUGCAAUUUGCUUGAAGAACUUAAAACUCAAAGUUGUAUGGAUUGUAUAGAGGAAGGAGAACUAAUGAAAAUGAAAGGAAAUGAAGAGUUUUCCAAAGAAAGAUUUGAUAUAGCUAUUAUCUAUUACACCAGAGCCAUUGAAUAUAGGUAAGAGCAAAUAGAACAAAAGAGAUGCUUUUUCUAUGGCACAUCA